UCCGGGAGCUGCAGGAAUAGCAGCAGAGCACCAAUGCAUGAUCUCCAUCUGCUUUCAGUCGCUCACCAGCAGGUGGAGCAAGCGGCUGUUGAUGAAGACC